AUCACAAGUGUAGCAAUGGAAUAAUGAUUCCGUUUUUUAUGCGAAAGCUUGUGAACAAAAUUUUGCCGGAUAGUUCAUAUCACGCAGCAAUGGCGUAAGACGUAGUGAACCAUCAGGCAUUUAGCGGGCUGCGGGUUGCAGCCUGGACACACAACGGGAUUGGUUCACCUGGUAUUCUACUGGCGGUUCCCCCCCUUGAAUGCGCUGUUUUUCCAUAUGAAAAACAGGCAACCGAGAUUUUGCGCCCCUUGAGCAGCCGACAUCCGGGAGGUUGACGGCUUUGCGAUAAGACACGGGGCCAUCGGUUUAUAGCGUCCAGCGUUACUUUGCCCGCAGCUUUGUCCCUAA
rfam:Erwinia sp. Leaf53 contig_3, whole genome shotgun sequence.